GGAGGAGAUCAGAGGGAUUGCCCUAGUAACGGCGAGUGAAGCGGCAACAGCUCAAAUUUGAAAUCUGGCUUUCGGGCCCGAGUUGUAAUUUGUAGAGGAUGAUUUUGAUGCGGUGCCUUCCGAGUUCCCUGGAACGGGACGCCAUAGAGGGUGAGAGCCCCGUCUGGUUGGAUGCCAAAUCUCUGUAAAUCUCCUUCGACGAGUCGAGUAGUUUGGGAAUGCUGCUCUAAAUGGGAGGUAUAUGUCUUCUAAAGCUAAAUACCGGCCAGAGACCGAUAGCGCACAAGUAGAGUGAUCGAAAGAUGAAAAGCACUUUGAAAAGAGAGUUAAAAAGUACGUGAAAUUGUUGAAAGGGAAGCGUUUAUGACCAGACUUGGGCUUGGUUAAUCAUCUGGGGUUCUCUCCAGUGCACUUUUCCAGUCCAGGCCAGCAUCAGUUUUCGCCGGGGGAUAAAGGCUUCGGGAAUGUGGCUCCCCUCGGGGAGUGUUAUAGCCCGUUGUGUAAUACCCUGGUGGGGACUGAGGUUCGCGCUUCUGCAAGGAUGCUGGCGUAAUGGUCAUCAACGACCCGUCUUGAAACACGGACCAAGGAGUCGUCUUCGUAUGCGAGUGUUCGGGUGUCAAACCCCUACGCGUAAUGAAAGUGAACGCAGGUGAGAGCUUCGGCGCAUCAUCGACCGAUCCUGAUGUUCUCGGAUGGAUUUGAGUAAGAGCAUACGGGGCCGGACCCGAAAGAAGGUGAACUAUGCCUGUGUAGGGUGAAGCCAGAGGAAACUCUGGUGGAGGCUCGCAGCGGUUCUGACGUGCAAAUCGAUCGUCAAACAUGGGCAUGGGGGCGAAAGACUAAUCGACGUCAAGG
rnacentral:rRNA from 1 species